UACGUAGGGUGCGAGCGUUGUCCGGAAUUAUUGGGCGUAAAGAGCUCUUAGGCGGCUUGUCGCGUCGGAUGUGAAAGCCCGGGGCUUAACUCCGGGUCUGCAUUCGAUACGGGCAGGCUAGAGUUCGGUAGGGGAGAUCGGAAUUCCUGGUGUAGCGGUGAAAUGCGCAGAUAUCAGGAGGAACACCGGUGGCGAAGGCGGAUCUCUGGGCCGAUACUGACGCUGAGGAGCGAAAGCGUGGGGAGCGAACAGG
rnacentral:rRNA from 1 species